GUUGAGAUGGCCGAGUUGGUCUAAGGCGCCAGAUUAAGAUUCUGGUCCGAAAGGGCGUGGGUUCUCAAAUCCCACUCUCAACA
rnacentral:tRNA from 2 species